UGAUGAUGAUGAUGAUGAUGAUGAUGAUGAUGAUGUCAACAGACCACAGCAGGAGGAAGAGCUCCACAGCUGAAUAUGAACAGCUUCAUGUUGGCAGUGAAGAGCUGCUGUGUUCUCUCUCGUGUUCAUUCACAACCAGUGAAAGUAAUGCAGCUCUUUUUAGUUUGGAUGAUGAUGUUCACGUUUCAUCCUGGAUCCUCGGAGGAUUUAGUGAAACCAUUUAAAGAUGUAAUGCCGGCGUUGGAAGGAGACAAUGUGACUCUCUCCUGCAGCUAUUCAGGCUCUGUACAAAACCUCUACUGGUAUCAACACAAGUCCAGUUCAUCUCCACAGCUUCUCAUCACGGAUUAUUCAGAGGACACAGCAGGGUUGUCUUUUACACAUGACAAAAAUACUAAAGAGUUUCAUCUGAUCAUCUCCUCUGCUGCAGUGUCAGACUCUGCUGUGUACUACUGUGCUGUGAAGCCCACAGUGACAGGAAACACCUAAACUCUGUACAAAAACCUUUGGAGCAAAGACAACACAAUACUCCACAACGUCCACUAGAGGGCCACAUUAUCCAGUAGGAGGUGCACUACUCGUGCACUGUGUUCAACCAUUCAGUCAAUCACAAGUGCUGCUGUGAAGAGAACAAUUGUCAGACUGAAUGUUGAACAUCAGCUAGUUUCUCCUGUUGAUUUAAACCUUGUUGUAGAGAUGGAACAUUGGCUGUGGAUUAUUCUUGCUGCUCUUUUCUUUGAGUGUAAAGGAGAAGACAGAGUUACCCAGACAACAGGAGAUGUCAUCGCUACUGAAGGACACACAAUCACACUGGACUGUACAUUUGAGACCAGUUACACAGGUCCCACUUUGUUCUGGUACAAACAGGAAGUUCAUGAUUCCCCAAAGUCUAUCCUGCAACGCUACUCUGGAGCAAAGGAUGCUGGAGACGUUCAGAAAGACAGAAUUGAUGCUACAGUCGACAAGAAAUCAGUUCCUCUGAGGAUCCAGAAGCUUCAGCUGUCAGACUCUGCUGUGUACUACUGUGCUCUGCAGCCCACAGUGACAGGAAACACCACAACUCUGUACAAAAACCUUUGGAGCAAAGACAACACAAUACUCCACAACAUCCACUAGAGGGAGUCACACUCUGUUCCAA